GAAAAGGGAUUUUUUGUCUAGGAAACGCAAUCUAAACGUCACGUUGUCGUCGUCUUCUCGACUUCCCCUGUGAUUUUUUUUUCUACCGACUCGAAUCACGCACAGCACAAAGUCUUAUGUCCAUAUAAAUGGAGCGAUAUUAUAACAAAACGAGUGCUUCUGAUUCUAAAAGAAAUUUGGAUAAAUUGGAUAACUCUGAUGACUUGGAUGCUUUGCCAUGGGAUCCAGCUGAAAGAAAAAAGAUAUCACAGUAUUUUCCUAAUCAAAGAGACGAAGUAAGACGAAAAUAUUUAACUAGAGGUCCAUGUCAACCCCGGGUCAUGUUUUUCAAAAGAAGAAGUUUGGAACAGCAAUGAGGAGGUUUAAUCCAGGGUAGUAUAUUUUAUUAUACAAAAUAGUUCAUGACAAUGCUUUUCUAUAUUUUAUUUAGUAAUUUUUAUUUCCGCCCCUGA